GGGGAAUAUUGCACAAUGGGCGCAAGCCUGAUGCAGCCAUGCCGCGUGUAUGAAGAAGGCCUUCGGGUUGUAAAGUACUUUCAGCGAGGAGGAAGGCGUUAAGGUUAAUAACCUUAGCGAUUGACGUUACUCGCAGAAGAAGCACCGGCUAACUCCGUGCCAGCAGCCGCGGUAAUACGGAGGGUGCAAGCGUUAAUCGGAAUUACUGGGCGUAAAGAGCACGCAGGCGGUCUGUCAAGUCGGAUGUGAAAUCCCCGGGCUCAACCUGGGAACUGCAUUCGAAACUGGCAGGCUGGAGUCUUGUAGAGGGGGGUAGAAUUCCAGGUGUAGCGGUGAAAUGCGUAGAGAUCUGGAGGAAUACCGGUGGCGAAGGCGGCCCCCUGGACAAAGACUGACGCUCAGGGGCGAAAGCGUGGGGAGCAAAC
rnacentral:rRNA from 1 species